rnacentral:misc_RNA from 1 species
UGGAAAGCUGAGCUAAACUGCAUUUUAACAAUAAAUAAAAGUUCAUUCGCUCCUUGCACCUAGCACUAACACACUCUUUAUCUUCUUGAAAAAAAAAAUCUCUUAAUUACUCUCUCCUUGUCGUCUCCUUCCCCUUCCCCCUGUCUCUCUACUAAAAUCAAGAACAAUAUCACAAUCCCUUUAGGCCAAAAUCAACAAUAAAAUCCACUAGAUUCAAAUAAUCCCCAACCCUUUAAACUUGUUCUGGAAAUUUCGAACAGAAAAAAAAAAAAAAAGCACCAGGCUCCAUUGACAAGCGAGAUCAAGCUCAAGAAUUUGCCUACCAACAUGUCAUAAUCCCUCUAUUGCAUUAACAAUAGCAAGAGAUGCAACAAUAGCAGCAGACCCAUCACUUAAAUCCGACGCCCACAAUAUCCCUCCUAUAAAAUUCAUCCCCAAACCCACUAACCCUGUUGCCAGUUGCCCCGGCUACUUCAGUCUUCUUCCUCCUCAGUUGGCAAAAUCUCAAAUCUUCUCCCGGAUUUCUUCUGCAAAAACUCAACCAACGCCUUACCAUCCAUGGUCCCUUUGACGGUCAACGUAUCCUUCUGCAUGUCCACUCUCACCUCCUGCACACCUUCGUUCUUCAAAAUGGUCCUUUUAAGUUUCUUGGCACAUUGCCAACAGUGUAACGGCCCCUUGAUUACCGCCCGCGUCACCGGAGCCUUUGUAUUCCAGGGAAAUCUAGACCAUAAUACACCAGAGGCAAAGAUUAAAGGCCAAACAGAGAUUUUGAUAGGACAUUCAGCUUUACGAGACAGAAAGGCAUAAGCAAUUGCUGCAAAAACGCAUUGGAAGAUGCUACAAACUAAUCCAACAAUAACAGCAAAUGUCCUCAGAGGCUUGUGACUUUGAGAUGGGGAGCCUCUCAUCAUUAAUUUAGCUCCUUCUUUUUGGCAUGUUCGAGCAAGAUCAAUAAUGGAGAUGAGCAU